GGGGGGGGGGGGUGUCACACACCCCACACCCCCCUCAAGUUUCGCCCCUGAGCGCAGUAUACAACCUGUCACAUGUUUGACAAAUUAAGCUCGAGGUUAAUUUGUCAGAGUCUUUCUGGCUCAAAAUCCGUAAUUAUAUAACAAUAUUAUAUACUAAUACUCGAUAUUUUUAUGCUUUGAUAAUAACACUUGACCUGGAGAGGGUGAGAGUAUUGCUUCAUUCUAAAAUAGCUAGGAUAAUAUAAAUCGAAG